rnacentral:piRNA from 1 species
UACCAAAGCCAGAGAUGACAAAUGUCAAGC